rnacentral:rRNA from 1 species
GACAGAGGGUGCAAGCGUUGUUCGGAAUUACUGGGCGUAAAGCGCGUGUAGGCGGCCCUGCAAGUCGGGUGUGAAAUCCCAUGGCUCAACCAUGGAAGUGCACUCGAAACUGCAGGGCUAGAGUCCUGGAGAGGAAGGUGGAAUGCUUGGUGUAGAGGUGAAAUUCGUAGAUAUCAAGCGGAACACCGGUGGCGAAGGCGGCCUUCUGGACAGUGACUGACGCUGAGACGCGAAAGCGUGGGGAGCAAACAGG